UCAUAGCAACUUCAUCAAUCGCAGCAAAAAUCUACAAAAAAUUCUGUCUCAGGUUAAAUGUACAGUAAAUUCAACAACAAAUCAGUCAUUAAAAGAAAUCUUCCGAAAUCCAAUAAAAUGUUGGUACGAUUUGUAUCGAAUGCUAAAUGGCUGGCGUCUAAAAUAUCAAUUACUGUUGAUGAAAAUUUUAAGAUACCACAGAAAAUGGGACGCAGGAACGCAAAUGCAGGGAUAAGAUUAAAAAAGGAAACUGGCGUCUGAGCUUGAAAAUAAAAAUAAUCUUAACACGAAUCUUCUUAUGCAUGCUGGAGCAAUUUUUUCUACAAAACGAUGCAGGAAGGAUGUGGCAAACCCUUAAAGAAACGACAACAUCAACUGAAUCGAAAUUUUAGCCUACCUUAGCCUUACCCUUGCUUUAAACUAGAACACCAGGCUUUUGAAUAAAAGUCAUUACAGCAACAUAUAUCCCAACUUGAAUCAUGUAAUGAAUGACAAAUUAUAGUGGAGGCCCGUGAGUACAGACGGAAUGGAAACUACAGCUCCAGUGUAAUUACAAAAUCUUUUGGUUUAUACUGCACAUCGAAAAUUUAAAUUGUAAUUUGAUGUUUUCAAGCAGUGUCCGGCUAGUUCUGAAAUCAAAUUAAUUUGCAGCUAUGGAUUUCAUGGUUUUUAACAGAGACCUCAAAUAAGAGAUAUUAAUGCCAACAUUAACUAAAUAAAUCAAUCGAUAUCAGAAAAUACUUAUAUUUCCCAAUUUGUAUUGAACAAACUUUUAAAAUACAACACCUUGUGGACAGCAUUCGGAUCACUCAGUAUUUGUAACCCACACAAACUAUAGACUCCUUUCAUCGGAACAUCUUGAUGAAUAAAAAAAAAAAUCAUUUAGAUUUUAAAUUAACAAACUUAAACCGUUUUUUUAUAAAUUGGAUGAGAAGCAGUGACAUAGCAGUGACAUAUUAAAAGAAUAUGACACUUAUAGAUGUGAAAGUUCUAAACAUAUUAGCUGGAACUAAACCUACUCAAUGUUGUCGAAUCUGUGGUGCCUCCACAACAAAAAUAUUGGAAAUGAUCGAUUUUAGUUCAGCUUAAGGCAUUGAAAUUUGGGCAUAGAGAUAAAAAAAAUAGAAUAUGAAAGGAGAUGAUAAGAUUAAAAUGAGCAUAUGGAAAAAAUAUAUUCAGGAAAGGAUUUGGAAUGAUAAGGGCUACGAAUAAAGAUGAAAAAAGGAGCUUUUGCAAAGAGUAAACUAGUAUCGUCCUUUACCAACUUCAGCAAAGCAAAAAGUUUUAAAUAUAUGUUCACAUUAUAUUAAUAGCAAUUUACCAAAAAUGCAUAAUUAUUCGAGCUACUCAGUUUGCCAGACGAUUCGUAAAGUAGUGGAUCCACAGUUUUUAAAUAAACAAUUCGACGUUGGUUUCACUUGGAUGCUAAGGUAAAAAAGCUUCAGAAGCACGGAAUGCAAGGAAAAGUGGUCGAAUAAAUACUAUGACUGAUCUUUUUCACAGAGCGAUAGAUUUCUCGGAUCCGUUACUCUUGAGAGUCUGUUUGAAAUAAAUUAAAGAAAAAAGCAAAGACCUAUUUCGAAAAAAGUAUUAAGUCUUCUGGAGUUUCCAGGUACCGAAAAAAAUAUUCAUAUGAAAACGAAUCCAACUCGGAAUCUGAUUAUAACGAGGACAUUUACGACAUACAACCAGUUGCUAUAGUUUUCUACAAUCCUGACUACAAUGGCAAGCCAGCCAAGAUCGAGCCAGGCCGUAAAUUGCACAGACGGAAGUGAAAACCGCGAUGUCGGACAUAGGCUCUGUGGUAUCGGAUAAUAUCUUGGACUGCUGUGUGUCUGACGAGAGCGACUUAGCAAAGAUCAACAAUGAAUAUUUUUAGUUAUAUACUGACCACCAAGACAUUAGGCAACCAAAUUGAACCUUUUAUGAACGUUUCGAACUUAGCCGGCUUUUCCAGAUAGAUUUGGGGCCUCAGCAUUUUUUAAUGAGCUAUUACGUUUUUUAUAUGGUGAUAUCUUAAAUAUUUCAAAUCUGGUUGUAUCGAACUUUGUAAUUCUGAAAAGCUAAUAAAUGCAGCUAUAAAUAGGACCCAAACAAUUUGUUUGAAGCUACACACGAUUAUGGACCCUGCAGGGAAGUGUUUAGCAACACCUAGUCCUUGAAAGAAAACUUGAUUGGAAAUUGAGCACCGAGGACAGGGUAAAGACGUCCACAGUGGCCUUCUGCAUCUAUGGGAAAGACAUCGGACUGAAAUAGAACAAAGAACGGUGACUAUUCACCAAUUGUAUUUGGCCAUUCUUGCUUUAGGCAUUGAUGAUAUGGCAAACAGCUCUUAGAAAGUUUUUUCCAAGCAAGCUUAGUCGAGGUCAGCGCAUCGCAACCUCAGGACACCUUAUCCCCGUAGAUCUCAUAAGGAGAAGGUUGUAACUUCUCUCUGAGUGAGAGAAACUAAAAAUGAGAGCCAUCCUCGCUUGGACACCCGAGAAUCCUGGCAAGAUUCCCGAAAAUACACGAGAAGGAAGAUUACUGCAUCCAUAAUGAACACCUCUCAAUGACCUUCCAGGUAUCUAUCCCACUAAGCUAAGAAUGGGACAUGUACGACCCAGGACCUACAACUGCGGUACAAAUCUACCCUGAUGACUCAAAAUUAGACGGCAGAAAUCAGAAAAGCCAUCUCUACUAUCUCCAAACUAUCUUUGGACUCUUCUCGAACUGCCAAGAAACGAUUAAAACACUAGGCUCAAUAUCGUUGAGCUCAACGAACUCAAUCGGAUAUAGGAACAUCGAUAGGAACGAUGCCGCUGUGCCAUAUGUAGGCUUCUUAAGCAUGAAAUAUCCCAGCUAAAGACAAACAGGCGUUGGGAGCAAACCAUCACAUGUAGAAUUUCACGAUCGAUAUGACCACUUAUUUUGCCAUCCAAGAAAUGCUCGGCCAAUUUAUUCAGGCUUUAUCCGACUCAUACAGAGACUAUAACGCUCGGCAGUUACCCGAGAGAUCAAGGGACACUGUCAGAUUGAACCAUACAUAUGGUUAGAUUUCACUUUUAGAUAUAUGUAAAGUUUUGGUUUUUUCUAUUAAUUUCUGCUUCACAAAUACUUUUUAUUUCACGACCAUUGGGUACAAAAAAGAAAUAAAGGUUA